rnacentral:rRNA from 1 species
AGGAAUAUUGGUCAAUGGGCGCGAGCCUGAACCAGCCAAGUAGCGUGAAGGAUGAAGGUCCUACGGAUUGUAAACUUCUUUUAUAAGGGAAUAAAGUCAUCUACGUGUAGGUGUUUGUAUGUACCUUAUGAAUAAGCAUCGGCUAACUCCGUGCCAGCAGCCGCGGUAAUACGGAGGAUGCGAGCGUUAUCCGGAUUUAUUGGGUUUAAAGGGAGCGUAGACGGGUCGUUAAGUCAGCUGUGAAAGUUUGGGGCUCAACCUUAAAAUUGCAGUUGAUACUGGCGUCCUUGAGUACGGUUGAGGCAGGCGGAAUUCGUGGUGUAGCGGUGAAAUGCUUAGAUAUCACGAAGAACCCCGAUUGCGAAGGCAGCCUGCUAAACCGCCACUGACGUUGAGGCUCGAAAGUGUGGGUAUCAAACAGGAUUAGAUACCCUGGUAGUCCACACGGUAAACGAUGGAUACUCGCUGUUGGCGAUAGACUGUCAGCGGCUUAGCGAAAGCGUUAAGUAUCCCACCUGGGGAGUACGCCGGCAACGGUGAAACUCAAAGGAAUUGACGGGGGCCCGCACAAGCGGAGGAACAUGUGGUUUAAUUCGAUGAUACGCGAGGAACCUUACCCGGGCUUGAAUUGCAGACGAAUUGCUUGGAAACAGGCAAGCCGCAAGGCGUCUGUGAAGGUGCUGCAUGGUUGUCGUCAGCUCGUGCCGUGAGGUGUCGGCUUAAGUGCCAUAACGAGCGCAACCCUCGUGUCCAGUUACUAGCAGGUUAUGCUGAGGACUCUGGACAGACUGCCAUCGUAAGAUGUGAGGAAGGUGGGGAUGACGUCAAAUCAGCACGGCCCUUACGUCCGGGGCUACACACGUGUUACAAUGGGGGGUACAGCAGGCAGCUACCGGGCGACCGGAUGCCAAUCCCGAAAGCCUCUCUCAGUUCGGACUGGAGUCUGCAACCCGACUCCACAAAGCUGGAUUCGCUAGUAAUCGCGCAUCAGCCACGGCGCGGUGAAUACGUUCCCG